GGGGAUAGGACUCAGUGGUAGAGUGCUUGUCUAUCAUACAUGAAGCCCUGGGUUCAAUUCCUCAGUACCA
rnacentral:tRNA from 1 species